rnacentral:rRNA from 1 species
CCUACGGGAGGCAGCAGUGGGGAAUAUUGCGCAAUGGGCGAAAGCCUGACGCAGCAACGCCGCGUGAGGGAUGACGGCCUUCGGGUUGUAAACCUCUUUCAGCAGGGAAGAAGCGAAAGUGACGGUACCUGCAGAAGAAGCACCGGCUAACUACGUGCCAGCAGCCGCGGUAAUACGUAGGGUGCAAGCGUUGUCCGGAUUUAUUGGGCGUAAAGAGCUCGUAGGCGGUUAGUCACGUCGGAUGUGAAAUCCCGGAGCUUAACUCCGGGCCUGCAUUCGAUACGGGCUGACUCGAGUAUUGUAGGGGAGACUGGAACUCCUGGUGUAGCGGUGAAAUGCGCAGAUAUCAGGAAGAACACCGGUGGCGAAGGCGGGUCUCUGGGCAAUUACUGACGCUGAGGAGCGAAAGCGUGGGGAGCAAACAGGAUUAGAUACCCUGGUAGUCCACGCCGUAAACGGUGGGCGCUAGGUGUGGGGACCCUUCCACGGUCUCCGUGCCGCAGCUAACGCAUUAAGCGCCCCGCCUGGGGAGUACGGCCGCAAGGCUAAAACUCAAAGGAAUUGACGGCNGAGAGNGCGAGACGACGACGAGGAGAGG